CACGGAUCGCAGUGUUUUCACAUCUUGUAUCCAAUUGAAUAAGCCUUUACAGCAAGCAUGCGAUCUGUAAUGAUUUUUGCCUUAUUAUUCUUACUGGUCACCAAUAUUAGUGGUGAAGAACAGCAAUUGUCAGAUUUCGAAGGUGAAGCUGUCGGACAAGAUGUAAAUGAUUUCCGAGCACCUAAUUUGCCGGAUGACGUGACACAGGAAGAUUCUUAUGACCUGAGGGUUUCCUGGGGCAGGAAAAAAUAAAAUAAACAACGAAUGGACCAGUCUAUCUCCUGUUGGAAGUCAUCACCAGUAAAAUAAUCAAAGAUAAUAUCAUAGUAAUAAUGUUAAAUAUGAGAUUAAUAAAUAAAUCACAUGAACAUUGAAAAACACAA